UUGGCUAAAUUUGUGCCAGCAGCUGCGGUUAAACAAAAAAUACAAAUAAAUUUUAUAAAUUUAUGAGUUAAAUUGAAUUUAUUAAAUUAAUAAAAAAAAUUUAGGUGAAAUUUCAUUUUUUUUUAAUUUAUAUAAAAAGUUAUAUUGAAUCUUGAAAAUUUUAUUUUUAAACUAGGAUUAGAUACCCUAUUAUUUAAUUAUUUAUAAAUAUAAAGAUUAAAGUAGUAAUAGUUAUGAUCUUGAAACUUAAAAAAUUUGGCGGUAUUUUAGUCUAUUCAGAGGAACCUGUAUUAUAAUCGAUAAUCCACGAUGGAUCUUACUUAAUUUUGUAAUUUUAUUUGUAUAUCGCCGUUAUUUGAAAAUUUUAUAAGAGAAAUAAUUUUCUAAAAUUUUUAUUAAAAAAUAAAUCAGGUCAAGGUGCAGUUUAUAGUUAAGUUUUAUAUGGGUUACAAUAAAAUUAUUUAUAUGGAUUAAAAAAUGAAAUAUUUUUAAGAAGGUGGAUUUGAUAGUAAAUUUUUAUAGAUAAAAGAAUUGAUUUUAGCUCUAAAAUAUGUACACAUCGCCCGUCACUCUUGUUAAUAAUAUAAGAUAAGUCGUAACAUAG
rnacentral:rRNA from 1 species